UUGACCUUCUGACAACUGGUCAGGAGGAUCAUCUGAUUCCAGACCAUGGUUGAUAACAGAUAACUGCAGGUAACUGCAGGAAGGAAAGCACAGAGGAGCCUCAUCACAUGGAACUACAUCGCAGUUCAAGACGACCCCAUCUGAAAGAACUCUGUAUUACAUUCUAUCCAGAAGAACCAGAAAAAGAGUCUCUUGGAGCCAGACUAUGGAGAAAUCCUGAGAAUGGAGUUCCUUCUAUCCUUGUAACCUGAAAAAUGGUAAUUCUGCUUCCUUUGACCUACAGAUCCGUCAGGGAACAAUUAUAAGAUUUCAUGGACUAAAAGGUGAACUUUAAAUAGAGGCUGCAUGUUAUAGAGACACAAGAUUUAAGGCUCCUGAGAUCCUGCUACUAUGCUACACCACCAGGUCUAGAAUGAUUCUAUGACUCUCAUGUGAGAGGGAAAGAUAAUUUUUCUUGUUAAGCCACAGUUAUUCUGAGUUUUUUUCUGUCAUUUGCUGCUUUACCCAACUCAAGCUAUUAUAGAAAUUUAUGCUAAAAUGAAGGGCCAACAGAAGUCUCUAUGAGGGACAGAGGUUUUAGCUAAGAUGUCAAGGAUGAAAAGCAGCAGGACUAGAAAAUGCAAGAGGGGAAAAAAACAGUUCUGGCAUAAGGCAGUUUGCACUAACAUUUUGAGGCAGGAAAGAAUAUGUGAAAAGAACUGAAAGAAGGUCCAUGUGGCUGAUCAUUUGAGAAAGAAGUGGAGAGUGGUGUAAGGUAAGACUGUGGACAUAGGAAGGGGUCAAAUCACAAACGUGAAGAGUCUAGAUUUCUCUCUAACUAUAGCUAGAGGCCACUGAAGUAUUUUAAGCAAGGAAGUGUUUUGAUCCAAGUUCCCUUGGCAGCGGUAGAUGACUGCCCCCUAACACCUGAUUUCCACUGGCCUUCCAGCCUCCUCCUGUUGAUAUCACCUGAGCCCUCUAGGCGGUCCUCUUGAACAAGCUUCCUCCCAAGACACCUCAGGUCUGGCUCCCUUCCUCAGGACCCAUUUACUGUGUACCCACAACAGUGGUAGUAGUACAGCUCACUCCCUCCACAGCACUCUCUCUUUGCCUGCCACCACAAGCCAUGCCAGCCAACCUUUUGCCUUUAUAUUUGUCAGCACAAA